AAGUUUCAACAACGGAUCUCUUGGCUCUCGCAUCGCAUGAAGAACGCAGCGGAAAUGCGAUAAGUGAAUGUGAAUUGCAGAAUUCAGUGAAUCAUCGGAAUCUUUGAACGCACCUUGCGCUCCUUGGUAUUCCUCGGAGCACGCCUGUUUGAGUAUC
rnacentral:rRNA from 1 species